ensembl:lncRNA
GCUCUUUUAAGUACCAACUAAAAUGAUGUUCCGCAGUACGAGAGCUUGUCUGUUCUACUACUGGCCAGUUUACUUGUUUGUUCCUCUUUCCUCUCAGCGUCCACAUUUGAGUGAGUAUCAGAGUUGAAGAACAGGUUGGGUCUGUGUCCCCGCUCAGCAACCUACACCCUUGAGUAAUGGAGACCAUCUGCUUCCGAAGAGCUCCGUCAGCAAAACGGAGUCAGCCGAAAAGACUUCAAUUAUCAAUAUACCAUUUAAUACAUCGCCGCAGGCCAAACAGUCUGGCGUUCAGACAGCGUGAGAUGGAGGAUGUUAUUCCUCAGCUACAUGGGUGGAUUCUGCAACGCGGCAAAUCAGGGGUCAGAGCUGACUCGCAUCUAUCACGCCGUGGAUAAAUGACCAUGUCUGAGGAGAAGCAAACAUCUCUGCGCCUUAGCAGACCGGACAGACUACCACCUGCUGAAAAAAUCCUAUCUUAUGCACAUGUUUAUGGACACCUGGACUCGGGAGACAAGCCUGAUUGAUGGCUGAGAGCUCUGAGGAAAAAGCUGCCCUACCCACAGACACGCCUCUGGAUCCAUUUAUCACAAUCACUCACAGAAAGAUGGAGGCAUCGGCAAAAAAAAAAAAAGUGAGAUGGUGCUCUACGGACAAAGCUGCGACCGGUCGGCAGGCGUGCAUCACGGAGGGAGACUGGGAGAUAAUUGGACAGUUGGUGGGAGAGAACACUCCACCGGAGAGACAGUUUGGACAGGGAACACGGAUGGACAGAUGGAUGGAGAGGAAAAAUAGCAGAAGAAGAGUAUCAGAAGUGCAGGAAGACUGCCCCGUCACUCCUAGGAGUCUCUGUUAUUUCAGAACUGCUGUAACACUCGUGGAUCUGAGACCAGGGUUUUAUUUAGCACAAGAUCAGUGA